GGGAACGGCCGGGGAGUCGCACGUGGAGGUAGAGGGCGGACACCUCCCUCAGCCAGGGCAAGACUGAGGAGCAGAAAAUCCUGCAGUGUCCUGGGAAGAACAAGGAUGCUUAGAGUUCAAAUCCUGCCUGGUUACCUAAACUCCCUGGACUUCUGUGUCUCUAUCUCUAAAAUGGCCAUCAACUCAAAUGGCUAUGGGAAAAUUAAAUGAGACUGAGCACCUGUGUAGAUAUUGUGAAAUACCAGAUCAUAAAGGACAGAGGAAUCCUGAAGAGGAUAAAAUCAUAGAGAGAUGGGGCCAGUUAACGUUACCAAAGGAGCUGGGCUUGGAGAGAGAAAAUAACCCUUGAGAUGACUGGAGUUGAUUCAUCCUGUUGGGGGCAGACUGAAGAGGCCAGAGGCCAGCGCUCAGUUCCUUCUCCUGAGAGUCCCAGUACUACUGUAAGUCCUGUCCUCUCUCCGUUCUGUGGGCUUCUCAAUGUUUUUU
rnacentral:lncRNA from 1 species